UCAAGUCGUACUCGUAAUAGAGCUUUUUUUUCUGCUCUUGUUCACGGCUAUGGGUUUGAUCGGUGUUUGUCAGGGAAGCCAACAAGGAAAGGCUGGUCAAAUGUACAGUCUGGGUGAAGGUUUGAGCAAGGAAAGAGCUGUCUGGAUCCUGGAUUGUGGUGAUGUUUUCAACAGAUUUCAAGGCCGAGAAAGAGGAAGACAACCAAAUGUUGCUGACCUGAUUUUGUGAAUGAUAGUUUGGGUUUAUGAGAGGAAUUCAACAGCAACAAGAAGAAGGAGAAGAUGUUGUGCUUUGGUGGUUUUGCAGCUCGAGUUUGGAGAUGAACUGAGCUCAAUUUCAGCUGAAAUAUGAAGCAGCUGUCAUCGAAUUUGUGUGGAUUGUUUUACAGGGUUGAGUUGGAUUCGUUGAUAGAGAAAGAAAAGGGAAUCAGUGGUGCAGAGAUUGUUACAGACCGAGUUGUUUUUAGACUCGGAAACAUGAGAAAAUACAGGAAAGAAACUGAUCUGUUACUGUUGAUCUUUGGUGAUGAACGGAGUGAAUUAAAGAAGAGAUUUUGAGCCCUGAAAUGAAUGGGUUUGUGUGAAUGUGUAUUGUCGCAGGGAAGGAGAUGAUUUGUGAUCUUCAAAAUGCAGCAAGAACUUUGUCCAUCAUUAGUCAGCAGAAUACACAGCAAAUUUUCGAUUAAAUGCCUGAGAGAGAUUAACGUUGAUUCACGGUUGAGUUUUUGUAGAAAGAAGAAAUCCCAUCGAGACCAAGUUCUUUUUUUCAUGGCCUGAUGAAGACGGUUGGUGCAAUUAAAAGGAUACUUUUUCGUAUUGAGUGUAGAAUGAAACCAUUUCAUUUGUGUAUUCUUUGAUUCAUCUUCUUAUCAGUAGAAGACACAUUUUUGGCUGGUGACAUUUAUCAUGGUUACUACUGCUAAUCCUAGCUUCUUAAUUGUUCACGGACAGAAGUAGUUGUCGGGAGAGUGAUAAGUAAUAUAUGGGUAUUUGAAAAAUGAAAAAUGACUCAGAAAAUUAGACUGAAGGGAGUGGUAUUGAUGGACUCAUUGGGUUCCCUGGAUUUAGACUUGGCAGCAAUCAAAAGAGCUUUGAUGAUAUCUUCAUUGAAAUUCUUGGUUCCGGUCUUUCGCAGUGUACGGGUUUACUAAGUGGUGCUUACAACUCCACGAACCAGAAGUGUUAUACCGGAGAUCUAUGUUUGGUAAAACCCCUGUGCUUUACAUGUUUUUGUGCAAGAACAUGCUGAGAUAGGAGUGGCCAGCUUUGAACAAUUGAUUCUAUUAUUAAUUUCGGCUGUACCUCAACGUUUCUUCAUACUCCAACAAGCCUAAGCAAAACACCAUUGGAAACCGUUAAACCUGUCUCCUCCCUCUCUUUCAGAAAUAGGACAACAAAGGUUGGGUCUCAAUUAAAACUUUCCAAUCUCUUCUGUAAUUCUAAUAAUUCAACACUUGGGGUUUCAAAAUUCAUCCCCUUUGCUGCCCAUGAAGAGGUUAUGGAAACCACUGAGGUAGAAGAAGAAGAAGCUGAGACACAGGAAGAUGGUGAGGAUGAUGCUCCCUUGGAAGAGUUAAUUGAUGAUGCUGAAGAAAAAUCAACCUUAGUCAUCAUGGCAUCACUGCAGUCAUAUAAAGAAGCUCUGGCAAACAAUGAUGAGUCUACGGUUUCUGAAAUAUAAGCUUUCCUCCAAUCCAUUGAAGUAGAGGAAGUGUCUCUUGCAAAUGAAGUGAAAACCUUGACUGAAGAACUUCCUUCUAUGAAGGACCGGACUCUUAGAAUUGGUGCAGAUUUUGAUAAUUUCAGGAAGAGAACAGAGAGAGAACGACUAUCACUUGUGACAAAUGUACAAGGGGAGGUGGUCAAGAGUUUUUUGUCUGUCAUGGAUAAUUUUGAGAGAGCUAAAUCUCAAAUUAAGGCAGAGACUGAAGGAGAGGAGAAGAUCAACAAUAGCUACCAGAGCAUUUAUAAGCAGUUCCUCGAGGUUCUGGGAUCCCUUGGUGUUGUAUCCGUGGAGACAGUUGGGCAUCCAUUUGAUCCGUUGGUCUUUGCUCCUUUGGUAAAGAUCAUAAGCGCGAUAUGUACUAGAAGUUUGUCACACCUGCUACUAGAAAUGAUCUUGAUACUGGUACGAUCGUCUACAGGAACUGAAAGUCCUAGCCAUGGCAGUGAGAAGAAUACGACCGCGGGUAUCGGAGUUGGAUUUUAGUUCUACGGCUUUAAUGAUAAAUUUUACCACGUCGUCUUUGAUCCUACACUCAUCCACUGAACAUCCUUAUGUGAGUAUCUAAGAAUUUGAGAAGUUUGUUUUUUGGACAUGAGAUGCGAAUGUAACAAGAUGCAGUGAGAACAAUAAUGGAGUAGCUGUAGUAUUUGAGAAUUGUAUAAGAUCGUAAUUGUUGUUAUGGAUACAGAAUAUGUUGAAAUUAAGUUCUUUUGU